UUUGUUGCCUAGGCUGGACUGUAGUGGCACAAUUGUCGGCUCACUGCAACCUCUGUCUCCUGGCCCAAGUGAUCCUCCCAUCUUACCCUCCCAAGUAGCUGGGACUACAGAUGCGCAUCACCACACCUAGCUGAUUUUUGUAUUUUUUCUAGAAACAGAGUUUCACCCUGUUGCCCAGGCUGGGCUUUAACUCCUGGACUCAAGAGAUCAGCCCACUUUGGCCUCCCAAAAUGUGGGAUUACAGGUGUGAGCCACCAUGCCUUGCCAAUGAUGUUCUUUACACCUACUCUAAAAUUUCAUGAAGAUGUAUCUAGAAGUGUAUGUUUAUAGUUUUGCUUGGUACUAACUGGACUCAUUCAGUCUGAGAACCUAUGCUGUGCUUCAUUCAGCUCUAGGAAAGCUUAUUUUUUCCCCUUCAUUGUUUCCUUUGAAGAAGGAUUCAUGUUGGAACAUGAGGACUCCUCUUCCAUGUCUCUUUUCACAUUAUUUCUUAGUUCAUUUGCAUUACUUUCUAUGCAAUCUAAACCUAAAGAGCUUUUUAAUUUGCUCUAUAGAUGUCUCCUUUCUACUCUCCAGCCCAACUGUUGAAUUUACUUUUGACGGUUCUAUUUUACAUUAUAAACAUCUAAAUCCUUUCAUUAACAGCUUGUUUUCUAAACUCAAUAUCCUUUAUACCUCAGAAGAUAUCAUUUUACAUAUUGAUUUCUUUAGACAUUGGUACUUAUGUUUGUUGACUCUCAUGGUGUUACUAUCUGCACUAAUGGUGGGCAAAAGGAAGAACAUGCCAAUGGUCAGAUCAUGCUAGCUCAAUAGGGCUAUACUGGUUUUCCUUCUUAAUCUAAGUACCCACACUCUUUGCUCCUGCUUUGAACCAGAUAUCCUUUCUGCACACAGCUUGGCAUAUAAAAGGUGGUUGAACUAAACCAAUUACUUAUGAUGCACUAUCACCACCAUUCUUGGUCCUUUAUAUUGUCUUCUGAGGCAUCUGAAGCAAAAUCCACAUCUCAUGGUAGAAUUCUCUGGCUCUAGCCCUUCAAAUAAUUUCUCAAAAAAUUAUGGAUCCAGUGUACUCCCUUCUUUACAAAACUGGCAAGAUUAUUACAUAACACUUUUGCCUAUCAUAGUAUUAAUCUUUGCUGUCCCUUGUAGGUAUGUGGACAGGAUGAGAUUGAAGCAUGCUCCAUUUUGCUACUUUGAAUAAUUUAUCUGCGAACAAUUCCUCCUGUUCUUGGGAGAAUGAAUGUUCCUUUGAGGGAUGCUGCAGUGAGGGAUGAUCCAAAUAUGAGAUGUUUAGUAUGCAUUCUGGACAGGCAUUAGUUCUCAGUGUAUUAGGUUCUUCCUUUCAUGAAGAUGAGGAAACUUAAAAUCAUCCAUCCUAAAAUCCAUGCUCUCUGCUCAUGCUUUAAUUUUUUAACAAUUUGUGUUAGUUUUUCUUUUCUGACAAGGAAAAGUUUGAAAGAGCAACUGAAAGAUCCUUCUAAAGCUAUAUCUUGGAGGAACACAAUUAAUUUGAUUAGGUUUAAGGAAAGUCAGUAUUUAUAGGUUUGUUUUCUGAAAAAUAAGCUUUAUUGAAUCCCUUGAGGGGAAAAGCAUAAUUUUAUAGCUUAGGUUUCUUCCUUCCCCAGUGAUAUGUUUCUCAAAUUUUAUCCUGAAAUAAAAUUGUGGGCCGAUUGAGAAGCUAGAUGGGCAGACGCAUGGCAGAUCACCAUUGUCCCUGGUUGUUACAUUAGAAAAGAAAGUUGUAACAGAAGAUUCUUUUUGUCAGCCUCUUUCCUAAAGAUUCUAUAGAAACGUUCAGGAGUAUUUUGAUUGUUCUCUACAAUAAAACCUAGGUUGUUCUCUUAAAAAAAAAUUUCAGGUGUUUUCUCUAAACAUUCUCUAACAUUUUAGGCUUUCUCAGCUUAGGAUGAGCUUCUCAGGUGGUUGGAUAUUAGGACUGUGUAUUAUAGCUGACCACAAAUUCUAAUCUUGAAAAACUGCUUCAUGAGACUGUAGAAGAUAGCAUUCUCUUAAGAACUUUCCAAAACUAAAUGACUACUUACUAUCCCCUGGGCUUAUGAAUUCUGUAAAGAAUUAGCAGCUUUAGGUAGAAUAUGGCCAACUUUUUCUGAAGGUUCUUAUUUAGAAACAAAGGAAUACCUGAAGGUCUGAGUUGGCUGCCUGUCUAGAUUUUUUUUUUUUUUUAAAAGAGGCAUCUUGUUCACUUGUUCAUCAAUUAAUGCUCUUGAUGAAUCAUAAUUUUUAUUUCAAUGUCUAUUUCAUAAGAAAUCUAUUCACUGAACAUUAAAACAGAAGGCUGUAUUAACAAAAAAGGCAACAGACUGAGUGAAAAAAAUACCCUUCCAAACAGAUUUCACGUGUCAAUCUCCAUCAGAGAAACAUUUCCCAUCUUAACGGCUCCCUUUAGAAGUAAAUAAUAAUAAUUUGAGAUAAACUACACUUCUUCCACACCCAGAUAUACAGGUUUUUAAUGCUCAAAAAAAUUGUGUAUUUUUCAUGAGAAUUUCUCUCUGAAUUUUGUAAAUAAACCAGUUUAAACAUCAUUAGUUUAUCGAUCCUCUAUAUGUUACCUCAUCUAGAUAUAUACAAAAAUUUGGAAUGGAUAAAUAUUGGUUGAUAAAAAUAUUACAUAGCUGCUAAUGGGAUUUUUUAAGUACAGCAAAUUAAUACUUAAAAGUGUAGUUCUGCUUAUGGCAAGUUUUGUGUUUAAAAUAAUUAAGUAUAUAUACAUCUUCACAUCCAGGCCAAAGAGGUCAGAAGAAUAUUUACAAAAUAAAUAUGUAGGGAAUUUUAGAAUUUCAUUGAUUCAGAUGAAGUGAUGAUUCCUUAAUUAGCAUAAAGCUUUAGAUUGUGUCAACUAUUGUAUACUGUGUAAAUUACUCUGAUCAGCAUAAUUUUUUACUGGUUUGAGUAAGAAAUUUUAACCACUAAAAGACAGUUGGGGUUUUGAUGAAUUGCUAUAUACUACUUAUUAAAAUAAAGUUAGUUAUGGGUAUAGGCCUUAACUACAAUUUAUUCAACAAUAUAUAAACUAAAAAUGUCUUCUCCAUUUCCUCAAAAAAUUUAUUCUUUUAUUCAAAUUUUGAAACUUAAGUUAUUACUACAGCAAACUUCUAAUUAAAAGUCCUUGUCAUUUUAGUUUUCCAAUACUUUCAAAGAAACUUGGUAUAAUUCCUCUUGGUUAAGUUUCUUACUCAACUUUGUGUUGCAAGAAUACUAUAAAAUUUUAAUUAACUACAGUAGAAUAAAAUACCAGUGCAUAUAACAUCUGUUGCAUUUAUAAUACUUCAAUGUAAUGUGCAGACAAUGAAGUUAAGGUUUGCUAAAGAUCCAUUGUUCUGUGGGGCUUAAUUCCUUUUCCAAAAUUAUAAUCUAUAUAUGUGGUUCAAGGUAAAGUAGUUGAAAACUUCACAAUUAUUAAAUAUUUCUGAUUAAAAGUAGAAUGUGACUGUGAAAAUCUGAAAUCAAUAAAAGAAAUGUUAACUAUUUUAGAAUGCCAAAAUUAAUAUUUAAAAACAAACUAAGAAUA
ensembl:lncRNA